rnacentral:rRNA from 1 species
GUGAGGAAUUUUCCGCAAUGGGCGAAAGCCUGACGGAGCAAUGCCGCGUGAAGGAUGAAGGCCUAUGGGUUGUAAACUUCUUUUCUCAGAAAAGAAUUAUGACGGUAUCUGAGGAAUAAGCAUCGGCUAACUCUGUGCCAGCAGCCGCGGUAAGACAGAGGAUGCAAGCGUUAUCCGGAAUGAUUGGGCGUAAAGCGUCUGUAGGUUGUUUAAAAAGUAUUCUGUCAAAGAUUAGGGCUUAACCCUAGAUAGGCAGAAUAAACUUUUAAGCUAGAGGUUGGUAGAGGCAAAGGGAAUGCCCGGUGGAGCAGUGAAAUGCGUAGAUAUCGGGAGGAACACCAAAGGCGAAGGCACUCUGCUGGGCCAAUACUAACACUGAGAGACGAAAGCGAGGGGAGCAAAUGGGAUUAGAAACCCCAGUAGUCC